GCAUAUCAAUAAGCGGAGGAAAAGAAACCAACAGGGAUUGCUCUAGUAACGGCGAGUGAAGCAGCAAUAGCUCAAAUUUGAAAUCUGGCGUCUUCGGCGUCCGAGUUGUAAUUUGUAGAGGAUGCUUCUGGGCAGCCACCGACCUAAGUUCCUUGGAACAGGACGUCAUAGAGGGUGAGAAUCCCGUAUGCGGUCGGAAAGGCACCCUACACGUAGCUCCUUCGACGAGUCGAGUUGUUUGGGAAUGCAGCUCUAAAUGGGAGGUAAAUUUCUUCUAAAGCUAAAUAUUGGCCAGAGACCGAUAGCGCACAAGUAGAGUGAUCGAAAGAUGAAAAGCACUUUGGAAAGAGAGUUAAAAAGCACGUGAAAUUGUUGAAAGGGAAGGGAUUGCAACCAGACUUGCUCGCGGUGUUCCGCCGGUCUUCUGACCGGUCUACUCGCCGCGUUGCAGGCCAGCAUCGUCUGGUGCCGCUGGAUAAGACUUGAGGAAUGUAGCUCCCUCGGGAGUGUUAUAGCCUCUUGUGAUGCAGCGAGCGCCGGGCGAGGUCCGCGCUUCGGCUAGGAUGCUGGCGUAAUGGUUGUAAUCCGCCCGUCUUGAAACACGGACC
rnacentral:rRNA from 3 species